GUGUGUAUAGUGUAAAUAACACGUUAACUUUUCAUGCUAAAAAUAUAUUCUAUAUUACACACA
rnacentral:tRNA from 1 species